rnacentral:rRNA from 1 species
GCGCACGCUGGCGGCAGGCCUCACCCAUGCAAGUCGCACGCACCUUUCGGGGUUAGUGGCGGACGGGUGAGUAACACGUGGGAACGUGCCUUUAGGUUCGGAAUAACUCAGGGAAACUUGUGCUAAUACCGAAUGUGCCCUUCGGGGGAAAGAUUUAUCGCCUUUAGAGCGGCCCGCGUCUGAUUAGCUAGUUGGUUGAGGUAAUGGCUCACCAAGGCGACGAUCAGUAGCUGGUCUGAGAGGAUGAUCAGCCACAUUGGGACUGAGACACGGCCCAAACUCCUACGGGAGGCAGCAGUGGGGAAUCUUGCGCAAUGGGCGAAAGCCUGACGCAGCCAUGCCGCGUGAAUGAUGAAGGUCUUAGGAUUGUAAAAUUCUUUCACCGGGGACGAUAAUGACGGUACCCGGAGAAGAAGCCCCGGCUAACUUCGUG